rnacentral:tRNA from 1 species
GCUCCUAUAGCUCAGAAGGAUAGAGCGGUGCCCUCCUAAGGCACAGGGCCAGGUUCGACUCCUGGUGGGAGCA